rnacentral:rRNA from 1 species
AACGAACGCUGGCGGCAUGCCUAACACAUGCAAGUCGAACGAUGCCUUCGGGCAUAGUGGCGCACGGGUGCGUAACGCGUGGGAAUCUGCCUUUCGGUUCGGAAUAACUCAGGGAAAGUUGAGCUAAUACCGGAUAACGUCGCAAGACCAAAGAUUUAUCACCGAAAGAUGAGCCCGCGUAGGAUUCGCUAGUUGGUGAGGUAAAGGCUCACCAAGGCGAGGAUCCUUAGCUGGUCUGAGAGGAUGAUCAGCCACACUGGGACUGAGACACGGCCCAGACUCGUACGGGAGGCAGCAGUGGGGAAUAUUGGACAAGGGGCGAAAGCCUGAUCCAGCAAUGCCGCGUGAGUGAUGAAGGCCUUAGGGUUGUAAAGCUCUUUUACCCGGGAAGAUAAUGACGGUACCGGGAGAAUAAGCCCCGGCUAACUCCGUG